rnacentral:rRNA from 1 species
AACGAACGCUGGCGGCGUGCUUAACACAUGCAAGUCGUACGAGAAAUCCUGGGCAACUGGGAAAGUAAAGUGGCGCACGGGUGAGUAACGCGUGGGUAACCUAACCUUCAAUUGGGGAUAACUCUUCGAAAGGAGAGUUAAUACCGAAUCAUAUGCUUAUUCCUUAGGGAGUUUGUAUCAAAGGUGGCCUCUGCAUGCAAGCUACCGUUGAAGGAUGGGCCCGCGUACCAUUAGCUUGUUGGUGGGGUAAUGGCCUACCAAGGCAACGAUGGUUAGCUGGUCUGAGAGGAUGGCCAGCCACACUGGAACUGAGACACGGUCCAGACUCCUACGGGAGGCUG